AGAGUUUGAUCAUGGCUCAGGAUGAACGCUAGCGGCGGGCUUAAUACAUGCAAGUUGAACGCUCAGUAGCAAUACUGGGAGUGGCGCACGGGUGCGUAACACGUACACAACCUACCUUUAAGCGGGGGAUACCUCCGGGAAACUGGGAUUAAUACCCCAUAGUAUUAGGAAGUUGCAUGACUUUUUAAUUAAAACUACGGUGCUUAAAGAUGGGUGUGCGUCCCAUUAGGUAGUUGGAGUGGUAACGGCACACCAAGCCUACGAUGGGUAGCCGGUCUGAGAGGAUGGACGGCCACACGGGCACUGAGACACGGGCCCGACUCCUACGGGAGGCAGCAGUAAGGAAUAUUGGUCAAUGGUGGGAACACUGAACCAGCCACGCCGCGUGCAGGAAGAAGGUCCUAUGGAUUGUAAACUGCUUUUGCUAAGGAAGAAAUGUUUGUUAUUUAACAGAUUUGACGGUACUUAGAGAAUAAGCACCGGCUAACUCCGUGCCACUCAGCCGCGGUAAUACGGAGGGUGCAAGCGUUAUCCGGAAUUACUGGGUUUAAAGGGUCCGCAGGCGGGCUAAUAAGUUAGUGGUGAAAUACUCGGGCUCAACCUUGAGUGCUGCCAUUAAAAACUGUUAGUCUUGAGUCCAGCUUGAUGUGGGCCGGUAUUCCAGCAUG
rnacentral:rRNA from 1 species